rnacentral:rRNA from 1 species
UGAUCUGCCCUGCACUUUGGGAUAAGCCUGGGAAACUGGGUCUAAUACCGAAUACACCUCUUGGGUUGCAUGACUCUUGGGGGAAAGCUUUUGCGGUGUGGGAUGGGCCCGCGGCCUAUCAGCUUGUUGGUGGGGUGAUGGCCUACCAAGGCGACGACGGGUAGCCGGCCUGAGAGGGUGUCCGGCCACACUGGGACUGAGAUACGGCCCAGACUCCUACGGGAGGCAGCAGUGGGGAAUAUUGCACAAUGGGCGCAAGCCUGAUGCAGCGACGCCGCGUGGGGGAUGACGGCCUUCGGGUUGUAAACCUCUUUCAGCACAGACGAAGCGCAAGUGACGGUAUGUGCAGAAGAAGCACCGGCCAACUACGUGCCAGCAGCCGCGGUAAUACGUAGGGUGCGAGCGUUGUCCGGAAUUACUGGGCGUAAAGAGCUCGUAGGUGGUUUGUCGCGUUGUUCGUGAAAACCGGGGGCUUAACCCUCGGCGUGCGGGCGAUACGGGCAGACUGGAGUACUGCAGGGGAGACUGGAAUUCCUGGUGUAGCGGUGGAAUGCGCAGAUAUCAGGAGGAACACCGGUGGCGAAGGCGGGUCUCUGGGCAGUAACUGACGCUGAGGAGCGAAAGCGUGGGGAGCGAACAGGAUUAGAUACCCUGGUAGUCCACGCCGUAAACGGUGGGUACUAGGGUGUGGGUUUCCUUCCUUGGGAUCCGUGCCGUAGCUAACGCAUUAAGUACCCCGCCUGGGGAGUACGGCCGCAAGGCUAAAACUCAAAGGAAUUGACGGGGGCCCGCACAAGCGGCGGAGCAUGUG